CAUGUACCCAGCCCCCCAUGCUUCAUUCAGGGCCAGGCCUUCAGUCCUUGGGGUUUUCUGCUGGGUUGGGGCAGUAUCUUUCAGAGAUAAAGAAUGGGAAACUUUUGGAAGCUUCUGUUACCCAAAUGUAUACUUUCUGGGACAGGAUCCACCUCUAAGUUCUACAGUCAGGGUCUGGAGUCCAUACCUCAGCUCUGCAAUGAGAACAGAGUCUUCAGGGAAGAAAAUCGAAGACUUCAGGCUCAACUGAGUCAUGUUUCCAGAGAGCACUCCCAAGAAACGGAAAGCCUGAGGGAGGCUCUGCUGUCCUCUCGAUCCCAUCUUCAAGAGCUGGAAAAGGAGCUGGAGCACCAGAAGGUGGAAAGGCAGCAGCUUUUGGAAGACUUGAGGGAGAAGCAGCAAGAGGUCUUGCGUUUCAGGGAGGAACGUCUUUCCCUCCAGGAAAACGACUCCAGCUUACAGCCUGGAUGCCUGUCACCAAAUCCUUUUGAGCAGUGACCUGAGCCACCUGGUGGCAGAGGUAUGAGCUCUGAGAGGGCAGCUGGAGCAGAGCAUUCAGGGGAACAAUUGUCUGCGACUGCAGCUGCAACAGCAGCUGGAUAGCGGUGCUGGCAAAGCCAGCCUCAGCCCCUCCUCCAUUAACCAGAACUUCCCAGCCAGCGCUGACUCUGGAAACAAGCAGCUGCUCCUCCAAGGUAGGAAGGAAAAGGGACUUAGAAAACCCUCGGCCAGUGGGGAGAUCACCAGGAUGUCUGCGGCAGAAGGUGCAAUCGGCCUGGUCCAUGCUCCUUAGGGUCAGGUUG
rnacentral:lncRNA from 1 species